rnacentral:rRNA from 1 species
GGACUACCGGGGUAUCUAAUCCCGUUUGCUCCCCUGGCUUUCGUGCCUCAGCGUCAGGAAAUGUCCAGAGACUCGCCUUCGCCACUGGUGUUCCACUUGAUAUCUACGCAUUUCACUGCUACACCAAGUAUUCCAGUCUCCCCUCCAUUCCUCGAGCCGGAUAGUAUCCAACGCAGUUUCCAAGUUGAGCUUGGAGAUUUCACGUCAGACUUACCCGACCGCCUACGCACCCUUUACGCCCAGUGAAUCCGAACAACGCUUGGGACCUCUGUAUUACCGCGGCUGCUGGCAC